rnacentral:rRNA from 1 species
AAUGAACGCUGGCGGCAGGCCUAACACAUGCAAGUCGAGCGGAUGAAGGGAGGUUGGUUCUGGAGCUAGAGGCGGAAGGGUGAGAAAAGCAUAGGAAUGUGCCUGGCAGCAGGGGAUAACGUGCGGAGAAGGGUGCUAAUAAUGCAGACGUGGAGAGGGGGAAAGUGGGGGAGGUUGGGAGCUCAUGGUAUCAGAUGAGGCUAGGUCGGAUUAGCUAGUUGGUGGGGUAAAGGCCUGACAAUGCGGCGAUCCGGUACUGGGCUGAGGGGAUGUUAAGGCACUCUGGGACUGUGACGCGGCCCAGACUCCUACGGGAGGCAGCGGUGCGGACUAUUGGACAAUGGGCGAAAGACUGAUCCAGCCACGCCGGCUGUAUGAAGAAGGUCUUCGUAUUGGAAAGCACUUUAAGUUUGGUGGAAGGCCAUCGCGUUAAUACCUUCCUGUUUUGACGGUACCUGCAGAAUAAGCACCGGCUAACUUCGUG